CGCCUCAUCCGGGCCAUGUAGGCGCCAAAGUGGCAAGUUGUUGCUUAGCAACGCUAUUCCUAUAAUCGAGGUGAUAGACGAAUUCUUAAACCAUUUACAAGCAUGGUAUUAGAGACUGGACGGUGGAAUUCGGGAUGAAGGAGAAGAAUUUGCUACCUGCUUUGGAAGAAUAGCUAGAGUGAGGUAACAACGAGGUAUUUGCUCAGCCACGUUCAUCACAUUCAUCAUAACAGCUAGGAAAUAGAAACAACCUAGUUGUCCUUCAACUGAUGAAAGGAUAAUGAAAAUGUGGUAUGUAUACACAAUGG